rnacentral:rRNA from 1 species
UACGUAGGGUGCGAGCGUUGUCCGGAAUUAUUGGGCGUAAAGAGCUCGUAGGCGGUGUGUCACGUCGGCCGUGAAAACCUGGGGCUUAACUCUGGGCGUGCGGUCGAUACGGGCAUCACUAGAGUUCGGCAGGGGAGACUGGAAUUCCUGGUGUAGCGGUGAAAUGCGCAGAUAUCAGGAGGAACACCGGUGGCGAAGGCGGCCAUCUGGGCAGCAACUGACGCUGAGGCGCGAAAGCGUGGGGAGCAAACAGG